rnacentral:lncRNA from 1 species
CCCCACACAAAAGAGAAAACAAUCAAUCACCACUAAACACGUGUCUUAAUCAAACAUAUUCAAAAUAUAAUCACGACCGUCAAUUUCAUAAGCCCAAAAAGCAUAAUGAACACUUACUUUCUAAGCUGAACUGAGAGUAAUGGAGGUCAAACAACGAGGGGUCGACGGAGGUCAAGAUCGGACGGCGACCUUCCUUUCCGUAUUGUCGUAUGGAAGCCGCCACCAGAUCUUUCACCGCGGAUUCCGGCGGCAUUACGACAUGUAUUGCGCCGACGCUCCCCUGAAUCGUCACGUUGAGGAGCAGCUUCGUCAGUUUCGG